rnacentral:rRNA from 1 species
UACGUAGGGUGCAAGCGUUUAUCCGGAAUUAUUGGGCGUAAAGAGCUCGUAGGCGGUCUGUCGCGUCUGCUGUGAAAACUCAGGGCUUAACCCUGAGCUUGCAGUGGGUACGGGCAGACUAGAGUGCGGUAGGGGGAGACUGGAAUUCCUGGUGUAGCGGUGAAAUGCGCAGAUAUCAGGAGGAACACCGGUGGCGAAGGCGAGUCUCUGGGCCGUAACUGACGCUGGAGGAGCGAAAGCCAUGGGGGAGCGAACAGG